AGAGUUUGAUCCUGGCUCAGAGCGAACGCUGGCGGCAGGCUUAACACAUGCAAGUCGAGCGGGCGUAGCAAUACGUCAGCGGCAGACGGGUGAGUAACGCGUGGGAACGUACCUUUUGGUUCGGAACAACACAGGGAAACUUGUGCUAAUACCGGAUAAGCCCUUACGGGGAAAGAUUUAUCGCCGAAAGAUCGGCCCGCGUCUGAUUAGCUAGUUGGUGAGGUAAUGGCUCACCAAGGCGACGAUCAGUAGCUGGUCUGAGAGGAUGAUCAGCCACAUUGGGACUGAGACACGGCCCAAACUCCUACGGGAGGCAGCAGUGGGGAAUAUUGGACAAUGGGCGCAAGCCUGAUCCAGCCAUGCCGCGUGAGUGAUGAAGGCCCUAGGGUUGUAAA
rnacentral:rRNA from 1 species